CGCAGAAAACCCUCGUAUAAUAAAGGAAACAACUGCUCAUGGAGGUAAAUUCCAGUAGAUGGGUAUUAUUGCUCAGCCUGGCUGCCACAAAUUCUGAAGCUCAGAGAAGUUAAAUGACUGGACCAAAGUCACAUGGAGCCAGGACUCAAACCUGGAUGUCUUUCUGCAGAGGCCAUCUUUCCACCUCCACCAAGAAGUACAAGGGGCCGCUCUCCAUUUUUACACAGAGAGCUUGGUGCUACUCCUACUGCCGUGGGGCCUCUCAUUUCAUACCCAAGUGACCAGAAGCCUUCAGCUGCCCCUGAAACACAGGUUAAGAUAAUCAGACUCCUUCAAUACACAGUACAAGUUCCUGAGACAACAGGAGCAACCCCGCCAGGCACCAGGGUUUCAGAGGGUAGGAACUGUCUUCUUCACUUUGGUACCUUGGGGACCUGGCACUAGAAAGCAUUCAAUAAAUGUUGGUGGAAUGAAUGAAAAUUAAAUGAAGGAAGUGUUUCGCCUGAAGAGAAUUAACACCUAUUUUCUAACAAAGCAACAGCACUUGAACA